GAUGGAUGAUAGGGCGCCAGAGAUUCUUCAGUAUAGGCCCCUUGAAUAAAGUCAUGGUCAUGACACCAGCCAAGGAAACCAAAGUUCCGAGUACCUUGGCUAUACCACGAGGGUUUCGAAGUUCGAUGACCUCCAGCCUGCAAGAUCAGAGGAGGUGUAUUUGCGACACUACAACCCAGGCAAUUCCAUGAUUACUUGGCUAAACUCGAUUUAUUAUCAAUGGGACUUGAAUCUAUUACAAAUACCAUGCAGAACUCACCACGAGCCGCAAAGAGGAGUUCAUGAUCACGCCAAACUUUUAUCUCCCCUCAGCUGUUUUGGCCCAAAACAUGAAAGAAAUUAGCUUUACUGAUGCGUCUUCCAUUACUUGUUACCAUUUCGUACAAAAAGAAAAAGAAAGGUCUAAAGUUAGAGUAAUGGUGAAGGAUUUAAUAUUAAGGAAAAAGUUAGUGGAGGAGGAUGGACUCGUUUGGAAUAGAGCAUAUUAUAACAGACGGUAUGUAUAGAGUACGUACUAAAUUAUGGCAUCUUGGAAUAUUGUUUAUCACUACAAGUUGACAGAGAAUAACAAGCACAUUCUUUUCUGGAUAUGGAAGCAUUCAUCUGGUGUCCAAUGGUAAUAAUAGUUUUCUCAUCUAAUGAUCCGGGCUGGGCAGUCCUGAUGCAGUUAUUCGCUAAGAAGAAUUUCCCAAACCGGAAGAUACAUAUUCUUGGUAAUGCUGGUGUAGUUACAGACUGUGAGGCAUCUUUUCGUCCAAUCAGAAUGUUUGUUAGAUUUGCCAGAUUCUACUGGGAAUUCUGGGCAGGAUUUGAUGAUUCCUUCUGCAGACAGCCAUAGGAAGAAAACUGAAAUUUUAACCUUAGCCAACCAUUCAUUUUCAUUUUCAAGAUGGUAUCUCAUGGUUUUGGUCAGUUGUCCUAGCUCUACUAUACCCUUAAAUGAUACUUAUCAGUAAGGUUUCGGUCCAUUAUCCCUUGAAAACCAAUUGAGGACCAUUGAUCUGUGAUGGCCCUGCUUUUUGUCAUCAACUUCUUCAUCUUGGCAGUUGACAGGGGCAUGAGAUCAGGAAUCUUAUUUCCUCCGAGUCUCAUUGCAGCAGAAGGAAUCCAGCAAAUCUAUUCUCUCAUGUAAAUGGCUAAAAAGCAUUUCCAACCAAGAUUCUUGUUCUUUUUUUUUUUUUUUUUAACUUUUCAAAAGAAAUGAUCCACCUCACCAAUUUACUCCCACUUCAUAGAAUAUAAAUAGGAGACAAGAUCAGACAUCAAACUGUUGACAUUGACAAGCAAUAAUUUUCAUUCAUACAUCAGCAAGAAACAGCUUUUUCAUUCAUAGAACCUGUGAUCAUCGUAAACAUGCUAACAAGGGACAAGACAGCUAAUUAACUCAGCAUGUUCUAGCAACAUGGGUUAUUUACUCAAAAUUUGGGGUUUUUUACAAGAAAAUUAAACUAAUAUUGAUGGAUUUAUUAGCUUUACAAAACCAGAAAACUCGAUCUUUAGACUUUAAGUCAGAACAAUCUUAAUCAGAACUACAGAGUUCAAUUGCAGAAACAUUCAAAGCAAUCAAAAAGAAUUAUCCUGAUAAUCACCAGGGACCAAUGUUAAACAUAAAUCAUGAUUAAGAGUACCCAAAUAGUUUUUGGAACUUCCAACAUGAUUCCAAAUGUGGAAACUCGUGAAGCAUCAUACCGCCUUCUUCUUAGAUGUGCUGUAGAGACAACUUUGACUACAUCUCAAAGCCCUAUCAAUCAGCAUAUAAAAAUGUGUACAGAAACUCCCUGCCAAAAACUAUAAGAAAAGGCCAUGGGUUGCAAUUCGAUUCCUGCACUCAUUCAUGGUGGGGCUGGUUCUAUUUGUGGAGUCACCAUGAGAUAGGGGAAGAGACUGAAUUUUUUUUUUUUUAAGUCCAUCUUUAGAAGAUGGACUUGUCAUCUACACUUGUUUCGGAAAACUAUUAAAUCCAUCAUUAUAUAUUUAACUGUAACGGAAAGCAUAA